rnacentral:rRNA from 1 species
GAUCAUGGCUCAGGAUGAACGCUAGCUACAGGCUUAACACAUGCAAGUCGAGGGGCAGCAUGAACUUAGCUUGCUAAGUUUGAUGGCGACCAGCGCACGGGUGAGUAACACGUAUCCAACCUGCCGAUGACUCGGGGAUAGCCUUUCGAAAGAAAGAUUAAUACCCGAUAGCAUAAUUCUUCCGCAUGGUAGAACUAUUAAAGAAUUUCGGUCAUCGAUGGGGAUGUUCGUU